CAGUAGCCACGGGAAUACGUAGGUGGCAAGCGUUGUCCGGAAUUAUUGGGCGUAAAGGGCUCGCAGGCGGUUUCUUAAGUCUGAUGUGAAAGCCCACGGCUCAACCGUGGAGGGUCAUUGGAAACUGGGAGACUUGAGUGCAGAAGAGGAGAGCGGAAUUCCAUGUGUAGCGGUGAGAUGCGUAGAUAUAUGGAGGAACACCAGUGGCGAAGGCGGCUCUCUGGUCUGUAACUGACGCCGAGGCUCGAAAGCGUGGGGAGCAAACAGGAUUAGAUACCCCCGUAGUCCCUGUCUCUUAUAC
rnacentral:rRNA from 1 species